ensembl:lncRNA
UUACAAUAAGGGUUAGGGUCAAAUCAGGGGCCAAAAGUGUCAAAUUGAACAUUAAAAAGGGAUGAGAGUUUAAAAGACAAACAUACAGCCCUACUAUUUAAGGCACCCCCAAAAUGUGUCAUUUGAAUACUGGCUGUGUAAAAGCACUGUCAAAUUUGAAGCAGGCUGGUAUUUAGCAAAUCGCUAAAGGUCAAAGCUUAGCAGAGGGUACAAGAGCUAAGUACUGUAGGCACCUGAGAGGAUAAAGUCUAAAGAGGAUCCUUGGGACGUCCCAAUUCUGACGUCACCCUGUUGAAGUUGAACAUUUAAAUGAUUAAGACUAAGGUUAGAGUUAGGUAGGGCGUAUGGUGAAGGUUUAAGGUAAGGACAUCCCAAGGAUCCCUGAUUGCAUUAACCCACAUGAGAGGGGUGGUGGUGCCCCUGUCCUGUUCUCACCUGACUGUUGAUGGAGUCUCCAGGGGUACUGGGCCAACCCCUUGGCUGCCAUGUACAGGGGCAGGAAGGAGGGAUGGUGGAGGGUCCGGUUGGAGAAUGGAAGAAGGACCACCUGCCUUGGGCUCUGUUGUUGGAGGAAAGACAACACAUAUAUUGGUAUAUGACAUAAAAAGAAUUGCAAUCAGUAUUCCAAGAUCUGCAGCUUCAGGAAAAAUGUCAGCUGGAUUUCACAGAUGCAGUGUUUGUGGGUGUACAUGAUGCUGUGCCUCCAAGGGGUAAGAAUUUGUAACUAACUUUAUUAGUAUACACUUCAGGCCAAUGGUAACCUAAUGUCUUUAAGCUUGACUGUUGGGAUUGAUACCUUGUGGCGUCUGACCUAUUGGGCUUUACUGGUAUUGAAACUAAGUCUUAUUGCUAAGGCAGGUCAGAGUGAAACUAUCUGAGGAACUCUUUGACAAACACUACAGGGAAGAUUUCCUACGGGUCUUCCUACACUGACAUCUAACCCUUUUUAUUAACAUGGUUUUGUUUCAAGACAUUGGAAGUGUAAGCCUUUGAAAAUCAGACUUGACCAUAUGCAUUGGACCAUAACAUGCGCAAUGAGUUUGCGGUCAGUCUCUAAUAUGAACACUUAUGGACAAUGGCUGCGUAGAAACCAGAUUCACCCUUCACAGGUCCAUGGCCACGCCCCGUGUCUGUGCCAACAACUCUUCACCAUUAACCUUAAGGAGCUUCAGUAACCAUUCAGAAAUGUCUCCUUUGCCUGACAACUGAUCCUCCUGGUGCCUUGAGCAGUAGCACGUUGGGAUUUUAGGUUGUCAAAGAGUAAAGAGUUCUCCACUUUAACCAGCAUGCAUUAUCCUGCAUCAACACUGGACUGUAAAGGACCCUACAUUUUAAUUAUAUUGUAGAUGUAUACAGCCUACUAUGUAACAGUUACCCUGCAAUAUGUCAACAAGUAUCUUGUCCCUGUGUCAUGAAAGUCAGAUCUGCCUCCUUGUAAUGGUUGCUACGUAACUGUCAUCCUCCUCCUACCAUACGUGUGUAUGGUGGGAGGAGGAUGACAGUCCUGGAGAAUCAAGUGUUUGUGUACCUGGGGAACUUCCCCCUAUGAUGACCUGAUGGCUGUGAAGCUCAAGGAACACUACUCCAUACCAGAGGCUAUUCAAAUUGUCUACCCCCUCCCUUCACUAGGGUUUUCCAUGCCAACGGAACUGAUGUGGCUGUCAUCCAGGUUCCAUUCGAAGACCCCAUUGUUCCAAGAACUCUCCGGAAUUCGACCCAGCGACCUUUCAAUUACUGGCUCAAUGCUCUAACUGCUAGGCUACCUUACGCCACUACUGCCUGGUCAUGGCUCGGUUCAAUGACAUUUCCUUCAAAAGGCACCUGCACAGAGGGCAUCAGCUUUCAGCGGGGCAUCCAACCGUUCAACUACAUGUGGGAGGUUGGUGUCGGACCUGACCUGGCUAUGCAUCCUAGGUACAUUAUGCUCUAUGAAAACCAGUGACCAUGGACGUUUCUCUCCACCACCAGAUACAUCUGAGAGGUCAGCCAAGACGCUGGAAGUUCAGCAUGCCUCUACCAAACGCUGCCUCGUCACAACUACUGAGCUGAUCUGCGAGACUAGUGUCUUCCACAGAAGGGGUGAAGACUGACAACAAACUUGACUCUGGCCAUCAUUGGUGCAGAACCUCCCUCCUGGACUCCACCUGCAGGCCCCAAGAGACUGUUGACACCCACCAGGGUUCUAACUUUGGACUCUACACCUGUAAAUCAAAGUCAUGGCAGGGUUCAAAGUAUCUAGGCUAGUAGUGGCUUUGUCCCAUAGUAUCUUUAGAUUAAAUUGAUUGGCAAUCCUUUCAGAUGGACUACCAGUGGUGAAUGGGAUCGUGUUCUACAAGCAAUAUUCACCCGAAGACAGGCUUGUCAUCAGACAUCUUAUAGCACUGCCCUGAAGCGGAACAGAGACUUGAUCCCCUUUUCCUCCAGUGACUGAUCAGAAUAUAUUCCUUGCGCCCCGCUCAGCCAAG